CCACUAUGCCUAGCCGUAAACAUUGAUAGAAUUUUACACCCUCUAUCCGCCUGGGUACUACGAGCAUUAGCUUGAAACCCAAAGGACUUGGCGGUACUUUAGAUCCCCCUAGAGGAGCCUGUUCUAUAACCGAUGACCCCCGUUCAACCUCACCCUCCCUUGUUUCUCCCGCCUAUAUACCGCCGUCGUCAGCUUACCCUGUGAAGGUCUAAUAGUAAGCAAAAUUGGCACCGCCCAGAACGUCAGGUCGAGGUGUAGCGCAUGAGAGGGGAAGAAAUGGGCUACAUUCGCUAAUAUAGCGAAUACGAACGAUGCACUGAAAACGUCCAUCUGAAGGAGGAUUUAGCAGUAAGUGGAAAAUAGAGUGUUCCACUGAAAUCGGCUCUGAAGUGCGUACACACCGCCCGUCACUCUCCCCAAGCUUACCAAUUUAUGUAUCUAAAACGCUUUAACUGCGAAGGGGAGGCAA
rnacentral:rRNA from 1 species